rnacentral:rRNA from 1 species
UACAGAGGAGCCAAGCGUUGUCCGGAUUGACUGGGCGUAAAGCGCACGCAGGCGGUCGCGCGCGUGGGGUGUGAAAUCUGGCCGCUUAACGGCCAGGCGCCAUCCCAUACGGCGCGACUGGAGUGAUGCAGAGGUCGAUGGAAUUGCCGGUGUAGUGGUGAAAUGCGUAGAGAUCGGUAGGAACACCCAGGGGGAAACCAGUCGACUGGGCAUCUACUGACGCUGAGGUGCGAGAGCGUGGGGAGCGAACCGG